UUGCCAUAUUGCAGUAAGCGAGACUUCACUGUGUGGUUAUUUUAAUAUUUUUAUAGUGGAAAUUCCUUUCAAUUUGCAUGGAUAACCUGGCUCAGUUUGAGAUCUCACUUGAACAAGACAAGAUCUCUAAAUGUUAGACAAGAUAGUUACUAACCUGACUGACUAAUGGUCAAAAUGAAGUCAAAACAACAAAAUUGGUCAUGAAAAUAUAGUGUCAAAACAAUAGAGAUGCAGAAUUUUCCAACAAUGCAUGAGUCCAUGCCACUGUUGUUUAACUGUUAAUGAAACUCAGUACCAAUUAAGCUGC